rnacentral:rRNA from 1 species
GUGCCAGCCGCCGCGGUAAGACAGGGGUCUCGAGCGUUAAUCGGAAUUACUGGGCUUAAAGGGUGCGUAGGCCGGCCCGCAAGUGCUUUGUGAAAUCCCCCGGCUCAACCGGGGAACAGCUCGGCAUACUGCGGGUCUUGAGGAAGGCAGGGGUCGCCAGAACUGUAGGUGGAGCGGUGAAAUGCGUAGAUAUCUACAGGAAUGCCGAUGGUGAAGACGGGCGACUGGGCCUUUCCUGACGCUGAGGCACGAAAGCGUGGGGAGCAAACAGGAUUAGAUACCCCCGUAGUCC